CAGUCGCCACGGGAAUACAGAGGGUGCGAGCGUUAAUCGGAUUUACUGGGCGUAAAGCGUGCGUAGGCGGCUUUUUAAGUCGGAUGUGAAAUCCCUGAGCUUAACUUAGGAAUUGCAUUCGAUACUGGGAAGCUAGAGUAUGGGAGAGGAUGGUAGAAUUCCAGGUGUAGCGGUGAAAUGCGUAGAGAUCUGGAGGAAUACCGAUGGCGAAGGCAGCCAUCUGGCCUAAUACUGACGCUGAGGUACGAAAGCAUGGGGAGCAAACAGGAUUAGAUACCCCUGUAGUCCCUGUCUCUUAUAC
rnacentral:rRNA from 1 species